rnacentral:miRNA from 1 species
UUUCCUAUGCCCCCCAUUCCAC